GAUGUGUCCCUGAAGGGGAUGUAAAUUACUGUGUUCUGUUGGGUGAAUAGGGAAACAGCUUUUUCAAGCUGUGUGUUUAAAAUCAGAAAUCUAGAUGGUGACUGCUUAAAGUUGAAAAGCAUGAUGCCAAGUAACCAGGAGCAGCAGUUAUAUUUUCAGAGCAACUAGGCCCGUGAGCCACAACUACUGAGCCUGCGCGUCUGCAGCCUGUGCUCCGCAACGGGAGGGGCCGCGAUAGUGAGAGGCCCCCGCUCGCCGCAACUAGAGAAAGCCCUCGCACAGAAACGAAGACCCAACACAGCCAUAAAUAAAUAAUUUUUUAAAAAAUGAGUUUUCAUCAGAAGUUAAUUUUGCUGUAAGAGUCAUUCCAAAAUAGU